GGCAGCUGUGAUAUUAGCUAGCCUACCCUAAAGCUAUCAGAUCCCAUCUGAUCUUGUAAGUUAAGCAAGCUCAGCUCUGCUUAGUACUUGAAUGGGAGAUCAUCAAUGAAUGACAGGGAGAUCAUCAA
rnacentral:rRNA from 1 species